AUAGAGACUCAGAGCUGCAUAUCAAUAAGCGGAGGAAAAGAAACUAACAAGGAUUCCCUUAGUAACGGCGAGUGAAGCGGGAAGAGCUCAAAUUUGAAAUCUUCAAGGGUUCUACCUUGACGAAUUGUAGUUUAUAAGAAGUGUUUUCUGUUAGAUGAGGUGGCUAAAAGUUCUUUGGAAUAGGACAUCAUAGAGGGUGAGAAUCCCGUAUUUGGUACCAUAUCCUCCUAGCUGUUGUGAUACACUUUCAACGAGUCGGAUUGUUUGGGAAUGCAGUCCAAAAUGGGUGGUAAAUUUCAUCUAAAGCUAAAUAUUGGCGAGAGACCGAUAGCGAACAAGUACCGUGAGGGAAAGAUGAAAAGAACUUUGAAAAGAGAGUUAAACAGUACGUGAAAUUGUCAAAAGGGAAGCGUUUGACACCAGUGUUGUUUUUCCGAAAAUCAAUUACGAAUGUUUUGUUUUUGAGGAGUUAUGACUUCAUCGGCUUGCUCCUUUCUUUAUGAAACUUUCUUAAUGCACUUUUCGGUUAACAAGUCAACAUCAAUUUCUUUUGUUGUAAAAGGGUAUGAGGAAGGUGGCUUUCUUUUCGGAGAAAGUGUUUAUAGCCUUGUGCCUCUGCAAUCGGAGAGAUUGAGGUCUGCAGCGUAGAUCCUUCGGGGUUAGAUACGUUUGUGCUAAGUUAUAGCUUUUCAUAGACAACUUGUUGACUAUGUUUAGUCUUGUAGCUUACUCGCUGACGCUAUUUUACCUACGCUUAGGAUGUUGAAGAUAUGCGCGACACG
rnacentral:rRNA from 1 species